rnacentral:rRNA from 1 species
GGGCCCGCACAAGCGGUGGAGCAUGUGGUUUAAUUCGAUGCAACGCGAAGAACCUUACCUGGUCUUGACAUACACAGAAUCUUGUAGAGAUACGAGAGUGCCUUCGGGAAUUGUGAUACAGGUGCUGCAUGGCUGUCGUCAGCUCGUGUCGUGAGAUGUUGGGUUAAGUCCCGCAACGAGCGCAACCCUUGUCCUUAGUUACCAGCGGGUUAAGCCGGAGGAAGGCGGGGAUGACGUCAAGUCCUCAUGGCCCUUACACGCGGGGCUACACACGUGCUACAAUGGCAGUGACAAUGGGAUAAUCCCAAAAAGCUGUCUCAGUUCAGAUUGUCCUCUGCAACUCGAGGGCAUGAAGUUGGAAUCGCUAGUAAUCG